CGGGGAGUAGCGCAGCCUGGUUCAGCGCGCGCGGUUUGGGACCGCGAGGUCGCGAGUUCAAAUCUCGCCUCCCCGACCA
rnacentral:tRNA from 1 species